UACGGAGGGUGCGAGCGUUGUCCGGAAUCACUGGCGUAAAGGGCGCGUAGGUGGCGCAGGAAGUCAAGCGGUGAAAGUUCGGGGCUCAACCCUGAAUCGGCCGUCGAUACUCCUGGGCUCGAGCACUGUAGAGGCAGAUGGAAUUCCGGGUGGUAGCGGUGGAAUGCGUAGAGAUCCGGAAGAACACCGGUGGCGAAGGCGGU
rnacentral:rRNA from 1 species